rnacentral:rRNA from 1 species
CGGAGGGUGCAAGCGUUAUCCGGAAUCAUUGGGUUUAAAGGGUCCGCAGGCGGGUCCAUAAGUCAGUGGUGAAAUCCUACAGCUUAACUGUAGAACUGCCAUUGAAACUGUGGAUCUUGAAUAUGGUUGGAGUGGGCGGAAUGUGACAUGUAGCGGUGAAAUGCUUAGAUAUGUCACAGAACACCGAUAGCGAAGGCAGCUCACUAAACCAUUAUUGACGCUCAGGGGACGAAAGCGUGGGAUCAAACAGGAUU